UUGGAGGGCAAGUCUGGUGCCAGCAGCCGCGGUAAUUCCAGCUCCAAUAGCGUAUAUUAAAGUUGUUGCAGUUAAAAAGCUCGUAGUUGAAUUUCGGAAUCCAUCCGUCGGUCGGGCCUCACGGUCCGCACUGGUGUGAUGGAUUUCUACCUUCUGAAUAACCAGCAUGUCAUUAAUUUGGUGCGUUGGGGAAGCAGGACUGUUACCUUGAAAAAAUUAGAGUGCUUAAAGCUGGCUAGUGCCUGAAUACAUUAGCAUGGAAUAAUGAAAUAGGACGGCAUGGUUCUAUUUUGUUGGUUUCUAGGAUCACCGUAAUGAUUAAUAGGGAUAGUUGGGGGCAUUAGUAUUCAAUUGUCAGAGGUGAAAUUCUUGGAUUUAUUGAAGACUAACUUCUGCGAAAGCAUUUGCCAAGGAUGUUUUCAUUAAUCAAGAACGAAAGUUAGGGGAUCGAAGACGAUCAGAUACCGUCGUAGUCUUAACCAUAAACUAUGCCGACUAGGGAUCGGACGAUGUUAAUUUUUUAAUGACUCGUUCGGCGCCUUACGGGAAAC
rnacentral:rRNA from 1 species